rnacentral:rRNA from 1 species
CCUACGGGUGGCAGCAGUGGGGAAUAUUGGGCAAUGGGCGCAAGCCUGACCCAGCAACGCCGCGUGAAGGAAGAAGGCUUUCGGGUUGUAAACUUCUUUUAAGAGGGAAGAGCAGAAGACGGUACCUCUGGAAUAAGCCACGGCUAACUACGGGCCAGCAGCCGCGGUAAUACGUAGGUGGCAAGCGUUGUCCGGAUUUACUGGGUGUAAAGGGCGGGUAGCCGGGCUGACAAGUCAGAUGUGAAAUCCCGUGGCUCAACCCCGGAACUGCAUUUGAAACUGUCGGUCUUGAGUAUCGGAGAGGCAGGCGGCAUUCCUAGUGUAGCGGUGAACUGCGUAGAUAUUAGGAGGAACCCCAGUGGCGACGGCGGCCUGCUGGACGACACCUGACGGUGAGGCGCGAAAGCGUGGGGAGCAAACAGGAUUAGCUACCCUUGUAGUC